CUCCAUUUGAUCCUAGAAGCACAGAAAAGCACCCUCAGCUUUUCACAUGUGACAAAGGCCACUGCCAGUGGGCACGCUGUGUUUCUGCUCAGUGCAGCUGUGAACUGAACUCAGCUGUUUUCUGCCUGGGAAGCUCACGCGAUCCAGUAACACGGGGCAAUGUGUGUUUCCAGUUUCUGAAUGCUAUGCGGAAGGGCUGUGCCUCGGCAGGGCAGCACCUGCUGCCAGGUACACCUCCAGCAGGAGGGCAGGAGCAGGGCCCUGUGGCAGCCGUCAGUGAGGGAAGGUCUCUGGGCUUCUUGCUGCAGCGAGCUGGAGGCUCUGGAAAGGAAGCAGGCCCUGAGGAGGAGGAUUUGGUUAUGGAGCUGUGGAGAGACAUCUCAACUGAUAUUAAGACUUGGUCUGCUUCAGGGGCUGGAGACUCGUCGUCUUAGCAGUCCAGAUGGAAGGCACGUCUUGAAGCCCUUGUUCCAGCAGAAAAUCAUUGUAUUGUGAUGUGUUGAAGAAUGAAGAGGAAUAAAGCAUUGUUUUCAAAUUGCA
rnacentral:lncRNA from 1 species